UACAGAGGGUGCGAGCGUUAAUCGGAAUUACUGGGCGUAAAGCGUGCGCAGACGGUCAUGUAAGUCGGGUGUGAAAGCCCCGGGCUCAACCUGGGAAUUGCAUUCGAGACUGCAUGGCUAGGGUGCGGAAGAGGGAAGCGGAAUUUCCGGUGUAGCGGUGAAAAUGCGUAGAUAUCGGAAGGAACACCAGUGGCGAAAAGCGGCUUCCUGGUCCCAGCACCGACGUCAGGCACGAAAGCGUGGGGAGCAA
rnacentral:rRNA from 1 species